rnacentral:sRNA from 5 species
CGUCAGCGACCCCACCGCCUGCCCGCUCCCCGGCCACGCAACCAACCCGAUCGCCGCCGGUUCCGGCGAUGU